rnacentral:rRNA from 1 species
UACGUAGGGGGCAAGCGUUGUCCGGAUUUAUUGGGCGUAAAGAGCGUGUAGGCCGGUUCGGUAGGUCCGUUGUGAAAACUCGAGGCUCAACCUCGAGACGCCGAUGGAAACCAUCUGGCUAGAGUCCGGAAGAGGAGAGUGGAAUUCCUGGUGUAGCGGUGAAAUGCGCAGAUAUCAGGAAGAACACCCGUGGCGAAGGCGGCUCUCUGGGACGGUACUGACGCUGAGACGCGAAAGCGUGGGGAGCGAACAGG